GAUGAACGCUGGCGGCGUGCUUAAUACAUGCAAGUCGAGCGAACGGACGCGAAUCGUUCUGCUCUGAUGUUACCGACGGAUGGGUGAGUAACGCGUAGAUUACCUAUCUCUAAGGCUUAGGUAACUUCGGGAAACCGGAAUUAAUACCGGAUGAUACUUUCGACCGCAUGGUUCAAAAGUGAAUUACGGUCUUUGUGUGACUUAGAGAUGUAUCCGCGCUGCAUUAGCUAGUUGGUAAGGUAACGCCUUACCAAGGCAACGAUGCAUAGCCGACCGGAGAGGCGGAUAGGCCACCCUGGAACUGAGCCACGGUCAAGACUCCUACGGGAGGCAGCAGUAGGGAAUGUGCCGCAAUGGGCGAAAGCCUGACGGAGCAACGCCGAGUGAGUGACGAAGGUCUUCGGAUAGUAAAACUCUGUUAUUAGGGAAGAACAUAUGUGUGAGUAAAUGUGCACAUCUUGACGGUACCUACUGAGAAAGCCACGGCUAACUACGUG
rnacentral:rRNA from 1 species